GACGAACGCUGGCGGCGUGCCUAAUACAUGCAAGUCGAGCGGAACUGGGGGAGCUUGCUCCUUCCAGUUUAGCGGCGGACGGGUGAGUAACACGUGGGCAACCUGCCCUGCAGAUCGGGAUAACUCCGGGAAACCGGUGCUAAUACCGAAUAUUUUGGCGCCUCUCCUGAGGCGCUACGGAAAGACGGUUUCUGCUGUCACUGCAGGAUGGGCCCGCGGCGCAUUAGCUAGUUGGUGGGGUAACGGCCCACCAAGGCGACGAUGCGUAGCCGACCUGAGAGGGUGACCGGCCACACUGGGACUGAGACACGGCCCAGACUCCUACGGGAGGCAGCAGUAGGGAAUCUUCCGCAAUGGACGCAAGUCUGACGGAGCAACGCCGCGUGAGUGACGAAGGUUUUCGGAUCGUAAAACUCUGUUGUGAGGGAAGAACACGUACCAACUAACUAUUGGUACCUUGACGGUACCUCACCAGAAAGCCACGGCUAACUACGUGCCAGCAGCCGCCGUAA
rnacentral:rRNA from 1 species